CCUGGGGGACGGGCAUCGAGAGUGGACACGUGGAGGCUAGCAGAGCGUGCGCAGAGGAUAGGCUGUGGGCUUGGAUGCCAUCUUUGAUGCUGGCCGGGACGACUUGGUGUUCGCGGAUCUCGGAAGUAGCUGAGGUCAGCCUCAUGUUAAGUCCGCGCAAAGGGGACAGAGUAACGAGCAUUGGGCACCGAAGCAAAUUCCCAAAGCUGCGUUGGAAGUGUAGAUGGCGUUUAGAAGUGCGAAGCGACGGUCUGCCUUACAUCUGACGAGGUGCCACCUCUCCAGGAGCGAGACCGUUCAUGCGAUGCAAGCAGAAAGCAUCAAGGGGAAGAACCCACCUUGGGUCAAGGGAACCCUGACCAGAGGCCUCUCCCUGGAGGACCCCGGCAGCGCAGGAGACUCCCAGGAGACCUGGGACAGCGCAGGUCCUGGAGUGUCUGCUUAUUUCCCAGAAGCAGCCUAAAGUCAAGAAAUCCUGGGGUAUCAACACACCAAACCCAGUAUCAUUUUCCAGUUGGAACAAGAAGAGCUAUGGAUGAUGCAAAUCCUGAGUCAGGGCCAUCCAGAUAAAGUCUGGGAAAUUAAUGAUUGUAUGGAAUGGCAUCAGGAAAAUUAAGGCAGAAGACUAUCCCUGUACUGCAUUUGGAAAACUAUUUUCUUAGUAAAGAUUAUAUUUCUUCAAGACAAAGACUUCAUAAAUGUGUCACAAAUGGAAAGAAUUUGAAAUAUAAUAUAGAUUUUAGUAGCAAUUAUGCUGGAAAGAAUCCUAAUGGGUUUUGUGUACAGAGAGAAUCACCCUUCCAUUCUAAACAUGAACAAGCUAUUAUUGGCAUAAAACACUGUGGAAGUAUUGAAUCUGGGAAAACUGCCAACAGAAAGUCACAGCUUAUUUGCCAACAAAUGCAUAUAGGAGGAGAGCCCUUUGACUACAGUUCCUGUGGGAAGGCCUUCAGCAGCAAGUCAUACCUUGGGGUGCAUCAGGAAACUCAUGAAGAAGAAAAGCCUUACAAAGGUGAUGGAUGUGGGAAAGACUUCAGCAGCAAGUCCUACCUCAUUGCACAUCAGAGAACUCACACAGGAGAGAAGUUACAUGCAUACAGUGACUGUCAGAAAACUUUUAGUUUCAAUUCACAACUUGUUAUACAUCAGAGAAUUCACACACGGGAGAAUCCCUGCAUGUUGUGAAUGUAGAAAAGUUUUCAGUAGAAUAGACCAGCUUAUUUCCCACCAGAAAACUCAUUCAGGACAGAAACCCUGCAAGUGUUGUGCAUUUGAAAAAACUUUUGAUUUGAAAUCACAACUCAUUAUACACCAAAGCAUUCAUACAGGAGAGAAACCCUAUGAAGGCAUUGAUUGUCAGAAAGCCUUUAAUACAGUCUUAAUUCAUGGUACAUCAGAGAACCCACAUGGGGGAGAAACCUAUGGUGUUGUGAAUGUGGGAGAUUCUCCAGUGAGUCACAGCUCAGAGAGCACACAGUGGGGUUAAACCCAAUGGAUGUAAUCAGUGUGGAAAAGCCUUCAGUUUGAAGUCACAACUAAUAAGUCAUGAGAGGGUAACAGGCAGGAAGGCCAGGGGUCUCCAAACGGAGGAAAUAAGCUGCAAGUGUCAGACAUUUUUAUCUCUCUUUUAAGCGGCAGGAGGAAACAAACUAGUGAUAUAUAUAUAUCACUAUAUAUAUAUAUAUAUAUAUAUAUAUAUAUUUUUUACUUUUUCCCUUCUCUAUACAAAUUUUAAAAGGUUUCUCUUAAAAUACUGUGUUGCUGUAAUGACACCUGGUUCCACCUGAAGUUAACUAUUCUCAAACCUUGAGUUAACCAAUGCAUUUUUCUUAUGGAAAUGUUUGUCUUAAACUAUGUUAAUGUACUAUGCAUUUACCCCAGACUCUGUCUUCAAGUCGGUUCUGCCUAAUGGCUCAGAACUUACUUGACAACCAUUAUGUUAUACUCAGACAUUGUUCCCCUAAUCUAUGUAAACAAAACUAUUUGUAUGGUACUCCGCCCUUCUACAAGAUUCAAGUCAAUUGUUUUAUGGCCCAGGAUGAUUCAUUUGUUGCCAAGAUUAUCCCAAAAUACAUCUUAUGGAUGAGGGGCCUGGUGUCAUUCUGAGUUUUAAGACAUUCCUUUCUUUCAUUAACAAACUGCUAGUGACUGUAUAAUGUCCAGCUGUAUAACACUAGCAGGGGGGUACUCUUUCUGCUCCUUUCUGAUGUCUAUGUCAGAAGCUUUCUCUAUCUCCUUUAUACUUUAAUAAAACUUUAUUACACAAAAGCUCUGAGCAGUCAAGCCUCGUCUCUGGCCCUGGAUUGAAUUCUUCUCCUCUGGAGGCCAAGAAUCCUGGCGUCUUUUUGUGGUUCAGCAACAACCUUUCAGUCACACAGGAGUGAAACCCUAUGGAUGCAGUGAGUGUGGGAAAGCUUUUAGAAUGAAGUCCUACCUCGUUUUACAUCAGAGAACUCACACAGGAGAGAAACACCAUGAAUGGUGUGAAUGUGGGAGAGCCUUCAGUUUGAAUUCACAACUCGUUAUACAUCAGAGAAUUCACACAGGGGAGAAGCCCUAUGAAUGCAGUGACUGUGGGAAAGCUUUUCAUUUGAACUCACAACUCGUGAUAUAUCAGAGAAUUCAUACAGGAGAGAAAACCCAUGAAUGUAGAGAAUGUU